UUAAGUUUCGAUGACAAUCAGCUGUUCAUUAAUACUUGUUUGUAAACAAAAAACGGAAUCACUGCACAGAUCAGUACUGGCAAGUCUGUUCGUUGUUAAAAUCUAUUUUAUGUCUCAAUCCCUUCCACCGAGAGAACAUGCGCGAAAGGGCCCCGCGAUUAAAUAUUCUAAUAAUCGUAAAACAAUCCCGAUGCGAUGUUUGUCUGUUUCCGCGCACAUGGAUACUCGACACUUACACACACAAAUGCUAAAACUGAGUGACUAAUUAGAACGACAAUUUGCGAAUGUUACCACGUAAAUUAACCGCUUUUCCUUGGCUCGAGUGCGUGUAAACAUAAUUAGUCUUAACAUGUGGAUACUCUCACUUUUAAUAGCUCUUUAUUUGCCUAAUAAUGAACUUUUGUAACAACCAACGAACAAUAAGCUCAUUCAAUCAACUGUUUAUGGCUGUUGUGGUGCAUUUUAUCAUUUUCCGUAAAAUGUUUCAAUACGAUACAUACAAUCAAAAUUGUGCCAAUGAAACUCACUGGCAUUAGCUAUUGGUACAUACUGUUUUGGUGGUAGGCACCCUCCAUUAUUCCUUAGAAUGGAAUAAAGACUAUUUGUUCCAUCAACAUCCCAUCUUCCAAUAUUCUGGAACUACCUGAUGACCAUUAAUCAAAAGACGCAGCCAACUAACGCGUAUUUCAGUAUCCAAGAUGUUAUCAAUUCAAAAUCGCUUAUUUUGAUGUAUUCGAGAUGGAACUAAACAAUUGCAAGAAAGUGAACGGGUCUAAAUAUUCCGACUGGUACAAAUUUGAUUAUUUGAGAUGGGUGUAGUGAAACUAAACAAUUCAAAUAGACAACCAACUUUACGCGGAAAAGGGAUUAAAAUUGAAAAUAUUAUUCAUGAUGGUCCACUAAUGGAUUUAAUGGGUUACCACAAAAGUUACCUAUUUCUUAUCAAUUUAUAGAACAAAAUCACCUAUAUUAUGUACAAUGUGGUAAUGUUGGUAGACAACCCACUUUACAGGAGAAAACUCGGAAAAACUGGGUCCACUUUGACGAUUCUAAUGGAGCUUUUAAAUUUAAAACAUUUACGCCAUUUUAACGAAUUACAUUUACUGCACAAGUAAAAAUUAUGAAAUUAUUUUAAAUCUUUAAGUCUCAGUGUACUUUCCUUUUUAAACUAUCUUUUAGUUACAAUACAUAAAACUUCAAUAUACGUUGUCAAAGUUUCUGUAUUUCGUAAUAAAUGUUGAAAAGUAGUAGUAAAAUUUAAUAUCAAGAACAUUGUAGUUACAUGUAAAAUGUAACAAUAGCUACGUACUGACUAGACUGUUUUCUGCAUUUUCCUACACAUGUAAUAACGUAUAACAAUAAAAAAAUAACUUCUAGCAAUUGAGAUUAGAUAUAAAGGUCAAACCAGCUAUGUGUAGAAUGUAGAUAUUGAAUUGCAGAUAAAUUUUACAGUAAUUUGUCGUAUUAUUAUAAACAUAAUUUCAUAUUGGGUCAUAAAAGGUCCUGAAUAACAAUUUCCAGUUUAAUAACAAAUUAAGUGACAAAAAAAAACAGCUUAUCAUGUAACCCAGUUACGAAUUUAUUUAGAACAAAUAUCAGCGACAGAGGCCUAGACCUAGUAAAAGAAAUACAUAAUGAGUUACUCCUUGCUUUCACUUAACGGUUGAAGAACUAGACAAGAUUUUUAUUUAUUUAACAGUUGUUUAUAGGCAGUGAUCGAAUGGUGAAGCGUA